rnacentral:lncRNA from 1 species
GUGAUCCUUAUCUAAAUGGUUUAUGGUAAAUCCCAAGCAUCUGUAUUUUAUAAAAGACCCCAAGUAAUUGUAAUUAUUAUCCAGUUUUGAGAACCACUCUAAGACCUCAAGAAAUUAAAUACAUGCACAAGCAUACACAUGCAUGCACACACAUGCACACACACAAUGUAACAUCUCAGACAGUCUGCAGCAGCUAUGGCCCCAGUAGAGAGAAACACCAAUCAGAUGAUAAAAGGAAGAAAAUGUUACUGAACUGGCCCUCAACAAACAACAUGGACCUUGCUCAAUGACCAGCGAAAGUCAAGGAUAUGAGAAGUGUCAUUUACACCUUUGAUUUAACUGCCCACUGAGCUGCAUUUCUUUAUUUGCUUGCAGCCUUUUUCAGUUUCAAGCAGGUUCCAUUGAGAGGCAUCUAGCAACUCUGGAUACAUCAACAACCUUGAUUCACCUUCAAGGAACAUUACCUAGAAAACACUAUAAAGUGUGGCUGUGAUGCAUGGAGACCAGCAACCCCAAGUCAUACCCUUCACUGUGGAAGAAUUGGGCAAAUAAAAAGGCCAUGUUGUAAAGAUGGAAUCACAAGAUGGCACCUGCUUGGAUUCCUAAGUCACUCCCUACUGGAAGGAGGCUUUCCUGGAGACUCUCUAGAACUGCAGCAGACCUUAUAUUCAGCCGAGAAGCUUGAGAUUGCUCGUGAUCAGGAUGUACAAAGAAGGUUAUAAAUACGUCAAAAUUACACAACAAUCAUGCAUUUUAGGCUGCCCAUCUCUGGGAGAAGGAAAUAAAACAUUGGAUCAUGAUGAUUCAGAAUCAUUUAAUGCGCUGUUUUGACAGAUUUCAAAUUCUUAAAAGUAAAAGAAAACCUCUUAAUAAAACAGAAAUGAAGACAAAAAUACAACUAAGCAACAAACAGUAUAAUGGAAGAUAUUUGAAGGUAUUUUGACAUUUCCCCCCAAACAAUAGUCUUUUGGUAAAUUUGUAAACUAGAGGAAAUAUAUUCAUGAAGUGAGGAGAGAAAACACAAAAAUGUUUUCAAAAGUAAAUAAAUUGUUUCAAAAUCAUACCAAGCAGCAUAUUUCCAACAUUAGCAUUAAGAUACAAAUGUAACUAAAAACAAAAAACAAAAAUGAAAGGAAGCAAAAAAAUUAACAUAAAGCAUUUUGCCCAUAUUUUAAUAGCUAUAAAUGUUCAAUAAACUCAAAAGGGGCCAUACAAAGAAGCAAAAUAGCCAUAAUGAUAUUUCACUCCCUUUUUAGUCUUUAAUUUACUGGCAAAGUAACAGAUAUUGAGUAGUUAAUGAAAUUAACCAACAUCCCAGAAAAAGAAACUCAAAGAAUAAUUAUACAUAUAGCUAUGCAAUCCCACUUCCCAAAUGCUCCAGGACAUUCUAAAAUUAAAAUUCUCUAUCAUCAAACAGGCCAAAAGAGAUAAGCGGUUC